AUUGAACGCUGGCGGCAUGCCUUACACAUGCAAGUCGAACGGCAGCACGGGUGCUUGCACCUGGUGGCGAGUGGCGAACGGGUGAGUAAUACAUCGGAACGUACCGUAUCGUGGGGGAUAACGCAGCGAAAGUUGCGCUAAUACCGCAUACGCCCUGAGGGGGAAAGCGGGGGACCGUAAGGACUCGCGCGAUUAGAGCGGCCGAUGUCUGAUUAGCUUGUUGGUGAGGUAAAAGCUCACCAAGGCGAUGAUCAGUAGCUGGUCUGAGAGGACGAUCAGCCACACUGGGACUGAGACACGGCCCAGACUCCUACGGGAGGCAGCAGUGGGGAAUUUUGGACAAUGGGGGCAACCCUGAUCCAGCAAUGCCGCGUGAGUGAAGAAGGCCUUCGGGUUGUAAAGCUCUUUUGUCAGGGAAGAAACAGCAGCUCUAACACAGUCUGCGAAUGACGGUACCUGAAGAAUAAGCACCGGCUAACUACGCGCCAGCAGCCGCGGUAA
rnacentral:rRNA from 1 species